rnacentral:rRNA from 1 species
GCCUAGCACAUGCAAGUCGAGCGGUAGAGAGAAGCUUGCUUCUCUUGAGAGCGGCGGACGGGUGAGUAAUGCCUAGGAAUCUGCCUGGUAGUGGGGGAUAACGUUCGGAAACGGACGCUAAUACCGCAUACGUCCUACGGGAGAAAGCAGGGGACCUUCGGGCCUUGCGCUAUCAGAUGAGCCUAGGUCGGAUUAGCUAGUUGGUGAGGUAAUGGCUCACCAAGGCGACGAUCCGUAACUGGUCUGAGAGGAUGAUCAGUCACACUGGAACUGAGACACGGUCCAGACUCCUACGGGAGGCAGCAGUGGGGAAUAUUGGACAAUGGGCGAAAGCCUGAUCCAGCCAUGCCGCGUGUGUGAAGAAGGUCUUCGGAUUGUAAAGCACUUUAAGUUGGGAGGAAGGGUUGUAGAUUAAUACUCUGCAAUUUUGACGUUACCGACAGAAUAAGCACCGGCUAACUCUGUGCCAGCAGCCGCGGUAAUACAGAGGGUGCAAGCGUUAAUCGGAAUUACUGGGCGUAAAGCGCGCGUAGGUGGUUUGUUAAGUUGGAUGUGAAAUCCCCGGGCUCAACCUGGGAACUGCAUUCAAAACUGACUGACUAGAGUAUGGUAGAGGGUGGUGGAAUUUCCUGUGUAGCGGUGAAAUGCGUAGAUAUAGGAAGGAACACCAGUGGCGAAGGCGACCACCUGGACUAAUACUGACACUGAGGUGCGAAAGCGU